UUUUUUUUUUUUUUUUUUUGUCGACGAAACCAAUAUCAUCUAUUCCCUUAUUUCUGUAAUUGGUUAUUUGGAAAGUCAAAGAGUAUAAUCAGAUGGAUCUUGGGUUAAAUGUUAUUGGUUUAAUUAUGUUCAAAUUUCACUUUAAUCUCAAUAGUUUUUUUCUUCUUGGUCAUGAAAGUGUUUUUUUUUUUGUAAACUGGUUUUCAUUGCAUAGAAUAAAUAAAUAAAUAAAUAAAAGAUAUAGGCCCAUUUGAGACAGUGUUAGAGCAAGGCCCAUUACAUAAACCAUUCCAAAAGUGUGGGCUAGGCCCAGAAUCUGACAUAGAACUUUGUAGUUACCGUCAAAGAAAACCAACCUACGGAUGGAAGGAUUGAGAAAGGAAGAGAUGGUGGAAACGAUGCGAGAUGAUGAAUCUCGAUCAGAGGUGGGAGAAAGGAUCUAAGUGAUAUCAAUCCAGCGCUGCAUCAUCGUUGGGGAGAGGCGAGGCUGAUUUCUCAUGAAAGUGUUUUUAUAUUACAAAAAAAAUUAUUGCAGGAAACCAGUUGAGCAGUUCUUGAAGGCAGUAGACGAACUUCAGUUGAAGGACAUUACAGAAUUCACCAGCAAGAUGAUUUCAAAGCCUUUGAAAAUGGGUUGCUUCGGAGAACAUCUUGUUGUCUGUUCCAAUCUACGACACCGUAAGCAGCAAGUUUUGUUGAAGCAUCAAACAUUUGCUAGAAAAAUCAAAAAUGUUUUGAGACUUGUAAAAUAAAGAUCGGGAUGAAGAAGACCCAACCAUUUUUAACUAUUUUUAUUAAAUUGAUUUUUGUAUUCCAGUACAUAUUUUUUACUACAUCCACAAAACCUGAGUGGUAAAACUGGUUCUGUGAUACCAUUUUAUGCUGUUACGACCUGCCUACAUGGGUCUGGUUCAGUGUCAUUAUACAUUUUUGUAUCUUAUCCUCAUGUGUCUUGAUUCUGAACCUGAUUGUUUCUUUUAUC